rnacentral:rRNA from 1 species
UACGUAGGGCGCAAGCGUUAUCCGGAAUUAUUGGGCGUAAAGAGCUCGUAGGCGGUUUGUCGCGUCUGCCGUGAAAGUCCGGGGCUCAACUCCGGAUCUGCGGUGGGUACGGGCAGACUAGAGUGAUGUAGGGGAGACUGGAAUUCCUGGUGUAGCGGUGAAAUGCGCAGAUAUCAGGAGGAACACUGAUGGCGAAGGCAGGUCUCUGGGCACUAACUGACGCUGAGGAGCGAAAGCAUGGGGAGCGAACAGG